rnacentral:rRNA from 1 species
UACGUAGGGGGCAAGCGUUAUCCGGAAUUACUGGGUGUAAAGGGAGCGUAGACGGUAAUGUAAGUCUGGAGUGAAAGGCGGGGGCCCAACCCCCGGACUGCUCUGGAAACUAUGUUACUAGAGUGCAGGAGAGGUAAGCGGAAUUCCUAGUGUAGCGGUGAAAUGCGUAGAUAUUAGGAGGAACACCAGUGGCGAAGGCGGCUUACUGGACUGUAACUGACGUUGAGGCUCGAAAGCGUGGGGAGCAAACAGGAUUAGAAACCCCAGUAGUCCACAUCGUGUGCCAGCAGCCGCGGUAAU